rnacentral:rRNA from 1 species
UACGUAGGUGGCAAGCGUUGUCCGGAAUUAUUGGGCGUAAAGCGCGCGCAGGCGGCCCUUUAAGUCUGAUGUGAAAGCCCACGGCUCAACCGUGGAGGGUCAUUGGAAACUGGGGGACUUGAGUACAGAAGAGAAGAGUGGAAUUCCACGUGUAGCGGUGAAAUGCGUAGAGAUGUGGAGGAACACCAGUGGCGAAGGCGACUCUUUGGUCUGUAACUGACGCUGAGGCGCGAAAGCGUGGGGAGCAAACAGG